rnacentral:rRNA from 1 species
UGGUGGAGUGAUUUGUCUGGUUAAUUCCGUUAACGAACGAGACCUCGACCUGCUAAAUAGCUCAGCGAAUCUUCGUAUUCGACUGAUUGCUUCUUAGAGGGACUUUGGGUGGGUAGCCCAAGGAAGUUCGAGGCAAUAACA